rnacentral:rRNA from 1 species
UACAGAGGUCUCGAGCGUUGUUCGGAUUCAUUGGGCGUAAAGGGCGCGUAGGCGGCGGGGUAAGUCUGGUGUGAAAUCUCGGAGCUCAACUCCGAAAUUGCACUGGAUACUGCUCUGCUAGAGGGCUGGAGAGGAGAUCGGAAUUCACGGUGUAGCAGUGAAAUACGUAGAUAUCGUGAGGAAGACCAGUGGCGAAGGCGGAUCUCUGGACAGCUCCUGACGCUGAGGCGCGAAGGCUAGGGGAGCAAACGGG